AACGAACGCUGGCGGCAUGCCUAACACAUGCAAGUCGAACGAGACCUUCGGGUCUAGUGGCGCACGGGUGCGUAACGCGUGGGAACCUGCCCUUAGGUUCGGAAUAACUCCCCGAAAGGGGUGCUAAUGCCGGAUAAUGUCUUCGGACCAAAGAUUUAUCGCCUUUGGAUGGGCCCGCGUUGGAUUAGCUAGUUGGUAGGGUAAAAGCCUACCAAGGCGACGAUCCAUAGCUGGUCUGAGAGGAUGAUCAGCCACACUGGGACUGAGACACGGCCCAGACUCCUACGGGAGGCAGCAGUGGGGAAUAUUGGACAAUGGGCGAAAGCCUGGUCCAGCAAUGCCGCGUGAGUGAUGAAGGCCUUAGGGUUGUAAAGCUCUUUUACCCGGGAUGAUAAUGACAGUACCGGGAGAAUAAGCUCCGGCUAACUCCGUG
rnacentral:rRNA from 1 species